rnacentral:rRNA from 1 species
AGGACGAACGCUGGCGGCGUGCUUAACACAUGCAAGUCGAGCGGAAAGGCCCUUCGGGGUACUCGAGCGGCGAACGGGUGAGUAACACGUGAGUAAUCUGCCCCUAGCUCUGGGAUAACUCCGGGAAACCGGGAUUAAUACCAGAUACGACCACUUUAGACAUCUUCUGUGGUGGAAAGAACUUCGGCUAGGGAUGAACUCGCGGCCUAUCAGCUUGUUGGUGAGGUAACGGCUCACCAAGGCGACGACGGGUAGCCGGCCUGAGAGGGCGACCGGGCCACGACCUGGGACUGAGACACGGCCCAGACUCCUACGGGAGGCAGCAGUGGGGAAUAUUGCGCAAUGGGCGAAAGCCUGACGCAGCGACGCCGCGUGGGGGAUGAAGGCCUUCGGGUUGUAAACCACUGUCGAGGGGGACGAUAUUGACGGUACCCCUGGAGGAAGCCCCGGCUAACUUCGUGCCAGCAGCCGC